UUUCUGCUCCCUCUACGUCGGCAAAGGCGUAGACCUGUGGCUGGCCGAGAGGAGGGACCGCAAGAGGCGAAAGCCAAAGAGGAAGCAGAGGAAGCAGCGGGAGGAGAGGAGGGUGAAGGGCCCGGCGUCAGACCUUGGAGAGGAACACAGCCCCGGCAGAGUGUGAGGCUGCUCCUCCCCGGGAACCCCCCUCCUGUGUUGUGCUUGUUGUUAUUUAAUAAAUCUAUUUGUAUUACA